rnacentral:rRNA from 1 species
AUGUUGCUGCGGUUAAAGGCUCGCAGUUGAAUGUCAGUUAAUAUACGCGUAGAGGUGCCGGGACGUUGCGAGCUUCUUUCGUCAGAUCGUAGCGAGCCGUCUCUCCAAGUGCAUCUCUCGCGGGCUAACGAUUCGAUUAGCGGGGAUGGCGAUGAUGGCUCUCGAGCCACCGUUGGCCGCUUCCCGCUAGUUGACACCUUGAGUAAAUCAGAGUGCUUAAAGCAGUCGUUGAAACACUACGACUGCGGCUUCCCCUUGCGGGCUUAGUCGUGUGUCUGGUGACGUUGCGAAACGUUUGGACAUUGUCUUUGCUUUGCAUGGUACGUCGAAAGACGCCGUCUGAGUUGGUCGCGCUUAUGGUUAUGUCGCUCCGCUUUUGUGUAUGCGCGUGCGCCAACGAGUACGGAAUGAUCUGAAAGGGAUGGCUCGAAGGCAUUGGUAUUGCGGGGCUAGAGGUGAAAUUCUAUGACCCCCGCAAGACUACCCGAAGCGAAAGCGUCUGCCUAGGACGUCUUCAUUAAUCAUGAACGAAAGUUGAAGGAUCGAAGGCGAUCAGAUACCGCCCUAGUUGCAACUGUAAACGAUACCAACCAUCAAUCCGUCAUAGCGUUCUCUUGUGUUCACGGAGGCGAGCUUGCUCUCUUCGUGGGCUGAGUGUAAGCGCUCGAUGGGCAGCUCUUUUCGGACGGAAAACCAGAGUUUUUCGGUUCCGGGGGGAGUCUGGUUGCAAAGCUGAAACUUAAAGGAAUUGACGGAAAGGCACCACCAGGCGUGGAGCUUGCGGCUCAAUUUGACUCAACACGGGAAAACUUACCAGACCCGAACAUCUUUGAUGAUUGACAGAUUGAAAGUUCUUUCUUGAUAAAGUGGAUGGUGGUGCAUGGCCGUUCUUAGUUGGUGGAGUGAUCUGUCUGGUUAAUUCCGAUAACGAACGAGACUUUCCCCUGCUAAUGAACUUUGUGUUCUUUUAGACAGUGCGAUUCGGAACAAGGUCCCAAGGGCGUAAGCUCCGGGGCCGGACGAUGUCCACUGAUCCUUGGCGCGUCGUUGGUGCGUGCUUGUGCUCGUGGCUGUUAUGGUUGCGUGUGCUUGCGUGCGUCUUCGGCAAAGCGUCUUGGAGUACGUUUCUUCUUAGAGGGAUUGACGGCUUUUAAGUCGUAAGAAACAGGAAGCAAUAACAGGUCUGUGAUGCCCUUAGAUGUUCUGGGCUGCACGCGUGUUACAAUGCCGGUAUCAACGGGUUCUUACACAUCUCGUGGCCUACUCCGAAAGGAGCGGGUAAACCUGUGAAAUACCUUGUGCGCUGUUUCACGAUAGUGCUAGUUCGGCAUGCUUGGGACUGGGGAUUGCAAUUAUUCCCCACGAACUAGGAAUGCCUAGUAGUGGCGAAUCACAGAGUUCGCUGCGACUCUGUCCCUGCCCUUUGUACACACCGCCCGUCGCUACUACCGAUUGAGUGUUCGAGUAAGAUUCUUGGAUAGGCGAACCCAGGAGGGAUUGCUCACCUGGGUGUACGACUCAAAGAGACUCAAACUCGUGCACUAGAGAA